UAAAGUUGUUGAACCAUGCUUUAGUGAAAUAUUCAGGGUUUGUGGACGUGAAAUGUCAUGUGACACAAGUUUUGGAAAAUGUACAAGGUUCUUCUUUAGCUAUUGAUGUCGAACAACUGUAACCAUAUAAGGUUUUCAAGAAAAUAUCGAAUCGAGUAGAUUGAUUUUAGCAACCAUAUCAUCCAAAACCA